rnacentral:tRNA from 1 species
GGUAAAGUCCGCUAAAUAAGCUAUUAGGCCCAUACCCUAUUCAUGUUGGUUAAAAUCCUUCCUUUACCA